UAAAUUUGUCUACAUUCAAAAUUUAAGUUGCAACAACAAAAGUGCAUUGACUGACUUACUGCAAACAUUGAAGAAGGUUGGGGUUGAAGGAAUACCUUUAUCCGCUAAAACUCUUUUAGGUACUAGUCGAGAAACAGUAGAUAUUGUAACAAUAGCAGGAGGUUCUGUUGUAGGUUUUCCUAAAGAGGACCCUUUCAUCAUUGGAUGCUUCUCUCAGUCGCAUCACCGGGGACGCGGAAAGCGAGGAGUCCAUGGAACUUGCUGCUAUGAUUCCCGUAUUAUCGGUGGAGCAAGUGCAGGCUGUUGAAGCCAAGCUGAUAAAUAAAGCUUACGCCGACGUAAUGAUUGGGCUUCUGGCAAGAUCAAAAGGCACGAAAGGAACGGUUGACGGGGUUAUGCGUUAUCUAUUCACAGAUGACGCCAUGUACAGCUUUAACUUAGAAGGAAGAGCAGGAAAGAUUCCACUUCUUAGACUUAAGUCGGUUGAACUUAUAUUUGACCUCUUUUCAGAAAAAAGAACAAAAGAAGAUAUACAAGGCGCUAUUAGAAAGUAUGUUCGUUUAAGCCACAAUAUAUGUAACCAACAAAAAAAAUUUUAAUUAAUAAAACUUUAACUCUUUAAAUCUGUAAAUAUG